rnacentral:snRNA from 1 species
AACUUUGUGCGGUGGCAGUAUCCUAGCCUAUGAAGUUUAUCCCAGACCUGAUUAUGGCUAAUUGAAAA